UACGUAGGUGACAAGCGUUGUCCGGAUUUACUGGGCGUAAAGAGCGCGCAGGCGGUCGAUCAAGUCGAGUGUGAAAGCCCCCGGCUCAACUGGGGAGGGUCAUUCGACUACUGAUCGACUCGAAGGCAGGAGAGGGUAGUGGAAUCCCGGUGUAGUGGUGAAAUGCGUAGAUAUCGGGAGGAACACCAGUGGCGAAGGCGACUACCUGGCCUGUUCUUGACGCUGAGGCGCGAAAGCUAGGGGAGCAAACGGG
rnacentral:rRNA from 1 species